rnacentral:lncRNA from 10 species
AAAACAACCAAUGACCCGAAAGACCGUUAAAAUCUCUCCACUAAUUUCUUUUGCCAAGAGAUGCUGGAGGGGAAAAAAUAAGAUGAAUAAAAUAUGAUCAAAAGAAUCUACAAUCAACUUCCAUGGCAACUAAAUUCACUUACGUAUGUUGUAUUAAAGUUCCUUUUAAGAACAUGUUGUACAACUCUAUGCAAAUUAAAAAUUUAGAUAAAAUAAAUGACUUCUUAAGAAAAUAUGAUUUGCUAAAAUUGAUCCAAAUAAAUAUAGAAAGCUUAAACAGUCCUACUUCCACAGACAGAAUACAGAAAGUUAUCGAAGAAUUGUCCCAUAAAAAAGGACAAGACCUGGAUGGUUUCACAGAGGGUCUACUAAGAAAAUACAAGAUAAUCUCAGUAUCACAUAAUUUGUCCCAGAAUAUAGAAAGAAGAAAACUUCCAAAUUUUUUAAAAACAAAUAUAACAUUAAUCACUGGGGAUCACAAUUUGACAUCAGAUUUGGGGGGCGACACAGACCCAAACCAUAUCAUGGGGUGUGUACGAUUUAUUGAGGAGACAAUAGAACUGUAGUUAAACAGGAGGCUCUCUUUGUUCCUGGAGACACAGGUGGGGGUCCUUGCAAAUGAUUCAAGAAGUGUGUGUGUGUGUGUGUGUGUGUGUG